UGGUAUGUUUGGAGCAUAUCCUUAUUUAGUUAUGGCAAAACUAUACAUGACUACUCAGAAUCAUUUGUUAUCACAAACUCAACUACAUCUAAGACCCUAAUAAAAAGAAGAAGAUAUAACCAAAUGACUAAGUCAUCUU
rnacentral:pre_miRNA from 1 species